GCGUUGUCCGGAAUUACUGGGCGUAAAGAGCUCGUAGGUGGUUUGUCGCGUUGUUCGUGAAAUCUCACGGCUUAACUGUGAGCGUGCGGGCGAUACGGGCAGACUUGAGUACUGCAGGGGAGACUGGAAUUCCUGGUGUAGCGGUGGAAUGCGCAGAUAUCAGGAGGAACACCGGUGGCGAAGGCGGGUCUCUGGGCAGUAACUGACGCUGAGGAGCGAAAGCGUG
rnacentral:rRNA from 1 species